AAUAAAUACCCUUUUCUCAUUCAUAUAUCUCUUUCUAUGUGAAUCAAGUAAUGGUUGUUUGUAAGAGAGAAAAAACAAAGAGGAAAAAAAAAGUGUCUCUCGCCCUCUCUCUCCUUCUUAUGCUUUCUCUCAAAUCUUAGAUUUCUUCCUAAUUUCUCAUUUGGGUUUGUUAGUAGAGUAAACCAAUUGAUCUAUGACUCGCUCUAUUGAAUUUACGAUUUUGGAAUUUCAUUAUGUUUAAUUAAUCUGUUCUAUUUUGCAGAGUUUAGAUCUUCCAAGAAUUGACCGGAUUAUUUGGUGUUCAUUGAGAUCUUAAUGUUUUGAUUUUGAUUCUUAUAUGUUGCAUUGUUGCAUGUUGAUGAUUAUGUUUUAUGCUGCGCGAUUGAUGAUUUUAUUUUCUGCAGAUCUACUGGUAGUUGCAAUUGAACCUGUCACAAAAUAAGCUUUCGAUAUCACCGAAGGUACAUGAAUCCCAAACAAGAUGAGAAUUUAACAGCGAAACCCUAUGUUGAUGAGGCGAACAAUGACGAAUCCAUCAUAACUACAAAUACAAUGAUGUUGAACACGAUUUUGUUGAUUCGCCUUUGCAAAUCACCAAUUCAAAUUCGAGUUUUCUCGAAUUGGUAGUAGGGUUAGUGAUUAAGGCAUUAGGAUUUCAAAUUAUUCUCUAUGUUUAGUGUGGAAUGUUAUAGAUGCAAGGGAUCCACAAGGCACAAGGUGUUACCAUUUAUGGGAAACAGUUGAAAGGAAAUUGCAAGCACAAACACUUGAUGCUCUUAUCGAACAAGGUCACAAACCUUUUUUUUUUUUUGCUUUUAUUUUGAACUGUUGCUUAAUACUAUUAGUUUGUAUAUUACAACAUAAUACAUUUUAAAACUAAGAUCAAGAAGGUAAUGUUUCUUCUAAAACUUUUGACUGGAAAAUAAUUUAGAAUGGUUAAACCAGUUCCCUUCUUAACAUUGUCUCUAAGGACUACUGUUAGAUAGAUAUCUAAAGGUUCAAAUACCGAUCCAAUUCAAUUUGACAACAUUUGCUCAAUGCAUCAAAGUGUUAAAGAUCUUGGACAAGAACAUCUAUGGAGAAGAACUUUAAAAAUAAAUGCUACUCAAGUCAAGAAGCUUAAUGGAAGCUUAUUGUCGGUAGCUCAAGCUAAAGUUGGCGACACAUAACCCAUUGAGCACUUCAUAUGUCACAAUCUGGAUUGUAAGAGUAAUUUAAAAAAGUUUGCAACUGAUAUAUGAAACUAUGAAGUUACUGAUAUGUUUUUUAUUUUAUGCUAGCAAUUGGAAUUUAAAUUAUAUAUCAAUUCUUACAUUGUAUAUACAUGGAAUUUGGGGAAGUUAUAUACAUUAUUUGGAGUGCUUGAUGGACUGUA